rnacentral:rRNA from 1 species
AUGGCUUCAUCCGGUUCCAUGACGAGGCCACCGUGUGCUAACCAAGAAGACAUACCGAACAAGUGGGAGGACGCAUCUUUGGACAAGGUGAAGGAGAAAGAUGUCAACAUCCCGCUAUGUUGGUGUGGAGAUGUUUGCAGGGUGAAGGUGUCCACCGACCAAAAGAAAUCAUGGACGGAAGGGCGGAGAUAUUUUGUAUGCCCGGACUAUGCUUAUGAUCGUGCACUUCCAACUAACGCCUAUGACCAACCACCGGUUGUUGGGGAACGUAGCAGAAAUACAAAAUUUUCUACGCAUCACCAAGAUCAAUCUAUGGAGAUUCUAGCAACAAGAGAGAGGGGGAGUGCAUCUUCAUACCCUUGA